AACGAACGCUGGCGGCAUGCCUAACACAUGCAAGUCGAACGAGAUCUUCGGGUCUAGUGGCGCACGGGUGCGUAACGCGUGGGAAUCUGCCCUUUGGUUCGGAAUAACAGUUGGAAACGACUGCUAAUACCGGAUGAUGACGAAAGUCCAAAGAUUUAUCGCCAGAGGAUGAGCCCGCGUAGGAUUAGCUAGUUGGUGUGGUAAAGGCGCACCAAGGCGACGAUCCUUAGCUGGGCUGAGAGGAUGAUCAGCCACACUGGGACUGAGACACGGGCCAGACUCCUACGGGAGGCAGCAGUGGGGAAUAUUGGACAAUGGGCGAAAGCCUGAUCCAGCAAUGCCGCGUGAGUGAUGAAGGCCUUAGGGUUGUAAAGCUCUUUUACCCGGGAUGAUAAUGACAGUACCGGGAGAAUAAGCUCCGGCUAACUCCGUGCCAGCCGCCGCAGUAA
rnacentral:rRNA from 1 species